rnacentral:rRNA from 1 species
CUUGCACCGGGGAUUAGUGGCGAACGGGUGAGUAACACGUGAGUAACCUGCCCUUAACUCUGGGAUAAGCCUGGGAAACUGGGUCUAAUACCGGAUAUGACUCCUCAUCGCAGGGUGGGGGGUGGAAAGCUUUAUUGUGGUUUUGGAUGGACUCGCGGCCUAUCAGCUUGUUGGUGAGGUAAUGGCUCACCAGGGCCACCACGGGUAGCCGGCCUGAGAGGGUGACCGGCCACACUGGGACUGAGACACGGCCCACACUCCUACGGGAGGCAGCAGUGGGGAAUAUUGCACAGUGGGCGCAAGCCUGAUGCAGCCACGCCGCGUGAGGGAUGACGGCCUUCGGGUUGUAAACCUCUUUCAGUAGGGAAGAAGCGAAAGUGACGGUACCUGCAGAAGAAGCGCCGGCUAACUACGUGCCAGCAGCCGCGGUAAUACGUAGGGCGCAAGCGUUAUCCGGAAUUAUUGGGCGUAAAGAGCUCGUAGGCGGUUUGUCGCGUCUGCCGUGAAAGUCCGGGGCUCAACUCCGGAUCUGCGGUGGGUACGGGCAGACUAGAGUGAUGUAGGGGAGACUGGAAUUCCUGGUGUAGCGGUGAAAUGCGCAGAUAUCAGGAGGAACACCGAUGGCGAAGGCAGGUCUCUGGGCAUUAACUGACGCUGAGGAGCGAAAGCAUGGGGAGCGAACAGGAUUAGAUACCCUGGUAGUCCAUGCCGUAAACGUUGGGCACUAGGUGUGGGGGACAUUCCACGUUUUCCGCGCCGUAGCUAACGCAUUAAGUGCCCCGCCUGGGGAGUACGGCCGCAAGGCUAAAACUCAAAGGAAUUGACGGGGGCCCGCACAAGCGGCGGAGCAUGCGGAUUAAUUCGAUGCAACGCGAAGAACCUUACCAAGGCUUGACAUGGACCGGACCGGGCUGGAAACAGUCCUUCCCCUUUGGGGCCGGUUCACAGGUGGUGCAUGGUUGUCGUCAGCUCGUGUCGUGAGAUGUUGGGUUAAGUCCCGCAACGAGCGCAACCCUCGUUCCAUGUUGCCAGCGCGUAAUGGCGGGGACUCAUGGGAGACUGCCGGGGUCAACUCGGAGGAAGGUGGGGACGACGUCAAAUCAUCAUGCCCCUUAUGUCUUGGGCUUCACGCAUGCUACAAUGGCCGGUACAAAGGGUUGCGAUACUGUGAGGUGGAGCUAAUCCCAAAAAGCCGGUCUCAGUUCGGAUUGGGGUCUGCAACUCGACCCCAUGAAG